rnacentral:lncRNA from 1 species
GGGGGAGAGUAGCGGGAGCUGCGAAGUGGACAGGCAGCUUUUGGUGCCUGAAUAAACCGAAGGCACGGUUUUGCAAAAGACCUCAACUGCAGCGGCUCGCAGUCGGAUAUUUGCCAUUGCAGUGAGAAAACCGUGAGCAACCUGGAGUUCAAUCAUGCCAAGGAGAGAAUGUGUUACUUUACAUGAGCAUGUCAAGUUUGUUCUUGGAUGCUGUGUCUGGCUUCAUAUGGAUUCUGUGCAUGGCAUCAAUGCAUUCGAAAAUGACUUGUUUGAUCCCUAAGAAACAGAACUCCUAAUCUGGUGCCAUGAGUCUGGACUGUUUAGAAGAUAGAUUUGAGUUUAUUUUAUGAACUUUGCAUGCCAUUUUCUGUGUUUGAGCGGAGAGUUAGAACACAAGGUCCUCUUGAUCCAUCUAAGUGAACAAAGACCUCGGGUGAGAUUAAGAUCUGGUGCUUCACACAGAGCACACAGCCCUGCCUCAAACUGGUGGUUGUGCACAAAUGAAGGUUGUAGCUGUGGAGCCUUGACUAAGCCUUGAAGAAUACUAAAAAAAGACUUUGAAUCUGACCCAUCAUUACUGCAAAUAAUACUAAAGGAGUGGCAGCAAUCYGUCUAUGCUUGCUCCAGAGCUUCCAGAUUUGAGCUGUCCUGUAAUAGAAGCUACCCAUGGUUUGAAGCUGACUUCAGCUUGAAACUCUGGGGGCUGUAAUUAAACUUAAAGAAAACCAUGUCUGUCACACAGAGGGACAAAGAUCUUUAGGAGCAUCACCACAGUUGCUUUUCUUUUAAGUAAAGACAGCUCUAGCAAGAAGAAAAUCAGACACUUUGGGUAAGUUAACACUGUGUAAUACACCAGAUUAUACUGCAGCAACAAUUUAUGGUAGAAC